rnacentral:misc_RNA from 1 species
ACAAACUUGGUCAUUUAGAGGAAGUAAAAGUCGUAACAAGGUUUCCGUAGGUGAACCUGCGGAAGGAUCAUUACCGAGUCCGGUGCCCUCUGGGCGCCUACUCCCACCACAUGUGUACCUGACCUGUUGCUUUGGCGGGGCGAGGUUCGCCCCUCCGGCUCCGGCUGGAGUGCCCCCGCCAGAGGUUUUUAAACUCGAUCUAACAUGAGUCUGAGUAAACAUAAAAAAAAUCAAAACUUUCAACAACGGAUCUCUUGGUUCUGGCAUCGAUGAAGAACGCAGC